UAUUCAAUUGACAGGGCAUCG
rnacentral:piRNA from 1 species